GACUAAGUUUGAUCCUGGCUCAGAACGAACGCUGGCGGCGUGCUUAACACAUGCAAGUCGAGCGCGAAAGGGAGGGGCAACUCUCCCGAGUAGAGCGGCGCACGGGUGAGUAACGCGUGGGUAACCUGCCCCCGGGCGGGGGAUAACUACUCGAAAGGGUGGCUAAUACCGCAUGAGACCACGGGGUCUUCGGAUCCUGAGGCCAAAGGCGGCGCCGGCUUGCCGGCGCUGUCACCUGGGGAUGGGCCCGCGUACGAUUAGCUUGUUGGCAGGGUAACGGCCUACCAAGGCUACGAUCGUUAGCUGGUCUGAGAGGAUGGCCAGCCACACUGGAACUGAAACACGGUCCAGACUCCUACGGGAGGCAGCAGUGAGGAAUAUUGCGCAAUGGGGGAAACCCUGACGCAGCAACGCCGCGUGGGUGAAGAAGGCCUUCGGGUCGUAAAGCCCUUUCGGACGGGACGAACGCUUCGCGGGGAUAAUCCGCGAAGCCUGACGGUACCGUAAGAAGAAGCACCGGCUAACUCCGUGCCAGCAGCCGCGGUAA
rnacentral:rRNA from 1 species